rnacentral:tRNA from 1 species
GGCACCAUAGCCAAGCGGUAAGGCAGAGGUCUGCAAAACCUUUAUUCCCCCGGUUCAAAUCCGGGUGGUGCCU